rnacentral:rRNA from 1 species
AUGAAAAUGAGGGAAUUUUACAAGAAGAAUGGUGGGCCUACAUUAGAGAAGGCACAUAUCAUAAAGCUUUUCAAAAAGGAGGAGCUUAAACCAAUUUUAAAGAGCAACAAUUUAAUAGGAAAAGGUGCCUUCGGUGAAGUUUACAAGGGUCUUCUUGACAAUAAACCGGUUGCAGUAAAGAAGCCAAUUAAUGGUAGUGUGAUGGAGAAUGAACAGUUUGCAAAUGAAGUCAUCAUUCAAUCCCAAGUCAUCCACAAGAACAUUGUUAGGCUGAUAGGUUGUUGCCUAGAAGUUGAUACCCCCAUGUUGGUAUACGAGUUUAUCUCCAAAGGUAGCCUUCAUGACAUUCUUCACAAUAGUUAUAUCAAGGUCGAUCUCAGCUUGGAUGCGCGUUUAAGUAUUGCUGCACAGUCAGCGGAUGGUCUAGCCUAUAUGCAUUCAAAGGCCAAUAUUAAAAUUCUACAUGGUGAUGUUAAACCAGCAAAUAUACUAUUGGAUGAUAACUUUCUACCGAAGAUUUCAGAUUUCGGUAUAUCCAGGUUGAUUGUGAGGGACAAGCAGCACACAGGAUCAGUCAUCGGAGACAUGAAUUAUAUGGACCCAAUAUAUCUGCAAGAAGGCCUACUCACCGAAAAAAGUGAUGUCUAUAGUUUUGGAGUUGUCAUCUUAGAGCUUAUAACCAGGAAGAAAGCCACACAUUCUGACAAUACUAGCUUGGUAAAGAAUUUUCUUGAAGCUCGUAAGAAAGGAAAGAAAGCAACUGAGUUUUUUGACAAGGAAAUUGCAGUAACAAAAGAUUUGGAGCUUCUUGAUAGUCUAGCAGAUAUGGCCAUGGAUUGCCUUAGCCUUGAUGUGGAUCGAAGACCAAUGAUGACGGAGGUAGCUGAGCGGCUCCUCAUACUGAGUAGAUCUCGGAAGUGUAGAUCGUUUUCGAGUUUAAAACAUGAGUAG